AAAAGUCAGAGACUGGUAUGACAUUCUGUACCUUCGGGGAGCGUAUUGUAACCCUCAUAUUCUUCAUUUUCAUAUCAUCGUGAUCUCACAUAUAAAGCAUGUCUUGUAAGGUAUCAGAGGAAAAGCUAUGAUCUGCUGAAAGUCAUUUCUCUAUCCAGAUAUGUGCAUCAUUAAUGCAUAUAAAGUUAUGAGAAUUGUGUCGUAUAGUGGUCACUAAAGCAUGCUGUAAGUUGGGGAAUCAGCCAAAUAUUAGCUCCCCAGAGGCAAGAGCAAGGAAAGU